AAUCCGGUUGAUCCUGCCGGACCUGACUGCUAUCGGAUUGAUACUAAGCCAUGCGAGUCAUUGUAGCAAUACAAGGCAGACGGCUCAGUAACGCGUAGUCAAUCUACCCUAUGGACGGGAAUAACCUCGGGAAACUGAGAAUAAUGCCCGAUAGAACAUUAUGCCUGGAAUGGUUUAUGUUCCAAAUGAUUUAUCGCCAUAGGAUGGGACUGCGGCCUAUCAGUUUGUUGGUGAGGUAAUGGCCCACCAAGACUAUUACAGGUACGGGCUCUGAGAGGAGU
rnacentral:rRNA from 1 species